AUUAAUACCUAUGUAAAUUGUUUUUUCGACUGCGAAUAAGAGCGAAAAUUUUGUAAGCUGUAUUUUUUCUUUAUUUUUAAUAUUUUAUUUUUAUAUUACUAUUGACCUCUUUUGGCGUAAAAAAAUAGCGUCGGCUGAUAAACAGCUCAGCUUACGUGAUUGGCUUAUAUGGAUAAAUAAAAAGAUAACACGUGGUGCAUUAGGAGCCCGAAAAAAACGCUCGAAGAUGAAUAAGUUUUGGGCCGGAACGAUUGAAGAAGUGGGGAGUGUUUUUCUGUAACCAACAAGAAAGUGGCCAGAAAACUCUCCACAACACGAAUCGUCUGUAAACCGUAAGUUAAUUGAUGGCUGAUAUAAAUUCUAUAAAUAGCAAAAAAUUGCCCACAAUAAAGAACUUGGUAUCCGAGGCCCAAGUUCGAAUUCUAGUUAAUUCAUAUUUCCAGCUAAAUUUAUUUCUAAAUGAAGUAAAUGAAGCGGGUAGCGUACUACCUAUCUCUCAAAAAAAAAAA
rnacentral:lncRNA from 1 species